GGAGAGGUCGCAUAGUCUGGUCUAGUGCGCGCGCCUGGAAAGCGCGUUUCCCGCAAGGGAUCGCGGGUUCGAAUCCCGCCCUCUCCGCCA
rnacentral:tRNA from 1 species